GAACGCUGGCGGCGUGGAUUAGGCAUGCAAGUCGAACGGUAGGAUACCUUCGGGUAUCUGAGAGUGGCGAACGGGUGAGUAACACGUAGGUGAUCUACCCUCAAGAUUGGGACAACCCAGGGAAACUUGGGCUAAUACCGGAUGAAAGCAGCAGUGAUGUUGUUUGAAAGGUGGCGUAAGCUGCCGUUUGGGGAUGAGCCUGCGCUCUAUUAGUUAGUUGGCGGGGUAAAGGCCCACCAAGGCGAUGAUAGAUAGGCGGCCUUAACGGGUGGUCGCCCACACUGGGAUUGAGAUACGGCCCAGACUCCUACGGGAGGCAGCAGUCGAGAAUAGUCUACAAUGGCCGAAAGGCUGAUAGUGCGACGCCGCGUGAACGAAGAAGCCCUUCGGGGUGUAAAGUUCUUUUAUAUGUGAGCAGUGCUUUCUAUGUGAACAGCAUGGGGAGAGAGAUAUUAGCAUAUGAAUAAGCAACGGCUAACUCCGUG
rnacentral:rRNA from 1 species